rnacentral:rRNA from 1 species
CAGUCGCCACGGUAAUACGAAGGGUGCAAGCGUUAAUCGGAAUUACUGGGCGUAAAGCGUGCGUAGGCGGUGAGUUAAGUCCGCUGUGAAAUCCCCGGGCUCAACCUGGGAAUGGCAGUGGAUACUGGCUCGCUAGAGUGUGUCAGAGGAUGGUGGAAUUCCCGGUGUAGCGGUGAAAUGCGUAGAGAUCGGGAGGAACAUCAGUGGCGAAGGCGGCCAUCUGGGACAACACUGACGCUGAGGCACGAAAGCGUGGGGAGCAAACAGGAUUAGAUACCCCCGUAGUCCCUGUCUCUUAUAC